GCCCAGUGAUGAGACCAAGGCGAAUACGAGCUUACUGAAUGAGAGUCGGGCUCCUCUUUGCCUUGACUGGCAGGUAAUCUUGGCAGUGCAGAGGAGCUUUCCUGCUCUGCUGUAAGGGCCUGCCUACAGUGAUUUGGCUCAACCCAAGUUAUUUCUUUAAAGUUACAGUGGAGUAAUCACGGGGAUGAAGCUGACAGUGUGUGUCUGUUGUGUGAGCAUUUGUGUGCAUGUGUAAAAGGCAAAGAGGUCACCCCGUUCUCUUCCUUGUUCAGUCAGCUGUGAGUUGCUUCUUUGGUAAUCUGAGGGCC